UACGAAGGGUGCAAGCGUUACUCGGAAUUACUGGGCGUAAAGCGUGCGUAGGUGGUGAGUUAAGUCUGUCGUGAAAGCCCAGGGCUCAACCCUGGGAUGCCGGUUGAUACUGCCAAGCUCGAGUCCGGAAGAGGAGUGUGGAAUUCCUGGUGUAGCGGUGAAAUGCGCAGAUAUCAGGAGGAACACCAAUGGCGAAGGCAGCACUCUGGGACGUGACUGACGCUGAGACGCGAAAGCGUGGGGAGCAAACAGG
rnacentral:rRNA from 1 species